UGUAGCAAACUGGAGAGCUUGCUCAAGGGAAGCAUCAAAUGACUGAGUGGCGGACGGGUGAGUAACGCGUGGAUAACCUGCCUCAUACAGGGGGAUAACAGUUGGAAACGGCUGUUAAUACCGCAUAAGCGCACGAGACCGCAUGGUUUUGUGUGAAAAACUCCGGUGGUAUGAGAUGGGUCCGCGUCUGAUUAGCUAGUUGGCAGGGUAACGGCCUACCAAGGCGACGAUCAGUAGCCGGCCUGAGAGGGUGUACGGCCACAUUGGGACUGAGACACGGCCCAAACUCCUACGGGAGGCAGCAGUGGGGAAUAUUGCACAAUGGGGGAAACCCUGAUGCAGCGACGCCGCGUGGGUGAAGAAGUAUUUCGGUAUGUAAAGCCCUAUCAGCAGGGAAGAAAAUGACGGUACCUGACUAAGAAGCCCCGGCUAACUACGUGCCAGCAGCCGCGGUAAUACGUAGGGGGCAAGCGUUAUCCGGAUUUACUGGGUGUAAAGGGAGCGUAGGUGGCGUGCCAAGUCAGGAGUGAAAACCCAGGGUCCAACCCUGGGACUGCUCUUGAAACUGGCAGGCUUGAGUGCUGGAGAGGUAAGCGGAAUUCCUAGUGUAGCGGUGAAAUGCGUAGAUAUUAGGAGGAACACCAGUGGCGAAGGCGGCUUACUGGACAGUGACUGACACUGAGGCUCGAAAGCGUGGGGAGCAAACAGGAUUAGAUACCCUGGUAGUCCACGCCGUANACGAUGAAUACUAGGUG
rnacentral:rRNA from 1 species